AGGAGGGGGGUAAGAGGGAGAGGCAGGGUGCAGGAGGACAAUGGGGUGCCAGGGCAAUCUGACCCCUGGGGCACGGACAGCCUCCUGGAGGAAGCAACCUGCAGGCUGAGCCAGAAGGAAGAGUAAGUGCUGGGCAGGGGGCAGGGGAGGGGACAGGCCGGCUCCGUGGUGGGCUCCACUCCUGCAGGGCACUGGGAACAGGCUCAGGUGUCCAGGACCACAAGGGCCAGCUCACAAGCUGGGACAGAGUUGGCCCAGGAUGAGAUAGUCUCUCGGCCAGGGAGCUGGUCACACGGCAGCUGGGCCUGGCUAUAGCAGGGCAAGGUGGCCACAGACCACCAAUAGGGGACACAAGGAGAGCUAGAGGACUUCUGGGCUGGCACCGAGGAGGGGCCUGGCCUCGCAGCCUGCAGAGAGCACCAGGGGCCUCAGGGGGAGGAGAGUUCCCAGAAGGAAGCCAGGGCCCUUGUCACAGCCGUGGGGUGGGGACAGCAGGCAAAAAGGCUAGAAGAGGGGCUGCGGGGCGAGGCCAGCAGGGACCCAGGAUGUCAUCCCUGGCUGUGGGGAGAUGAGGCAGUCAGAGGGGCCUGCUAAGGACAGGACACUGGCCUGGCACUGGCAGGACUGCAAGACGCGGUAUGACAAUGCGGGGACAUCCUGGAGGGCUUGGGGGCAGCAGGAAGGGGAAGAAGGAAAGGAGGCAUUGGUGGACCAGUGUCCACGGGGACAGCUGGGAGGUACAAGGCCACACCCAGGAUUCCAGGGGCUAUGCCAGCCAGCGCAGGCCCCAGGAGGGGCACAGGUGUCGGGGAGGGUGACAGCUUAGUUUUGGACACGCUAGGUCUGAGGUCCCUGUAGGGUAUCCAGGAGGGGGAGACAGGAGGUCUGCAGAGAAUGGGCAUAAAAUGGGCAUGCGAGGCUCGCUGGGCACCUCCCAGCUCCUGCAGCCAUGUCCGGGCAGCAGGCCCCGCCCCACAGGAAGAGGCUGAGGGUAGGACGGCCGCUGGCCCUGAAUCCUAGGUCCCAAAAACCCGCACUCAGACUUGGGGCUCAGCCUGCCCUGGAGAGGCCUUGCGUGGCCUCGGCUUCCUCACCAGGGCAGUGCAGGAGCAGGGCCGGGCUGCAGCCCUGAACCUGCAGCCUCAUACAUAUCUGGUGUCAGUUUGCACACUCGUGUGCACACUACACACACCGAUGCUCCAGUUCGGACCCAUCCCUCUCCCUGUGGUAAAGCACCGCCUGAAGCAGCAAAGGCCUUCCAAGGGUCCCGAGUGCUGCAUGGCUCGGGCAGGGAAGCAGGGUCCUCUGGACAGUGCCACUGCCAGCCGGAGCAGCCACCAUCCCCAGCCUCGUCCUGCCUGUCCUGUCGCCUGCUUGGGCCCAGGCAGGGUGCAGACACAGCUGUGCUGAUUUCCCUAACUUCCAAGAGCUGUGGCAGCCACCAGAAAGGGGGUCCCCCAGCAGAGAUGUGGGAGCAGGUGCCAGCAGACCUGGUGACGAUGGGACCGAAUGGUUGGGGCUUGCAGGGGGAGGUGCCGGGCUGGGACCCACACCUGUGUCCCUCUGUCCUCUGGUCCUGCAGUACUCCAGCCCCAGGUAGUCCCUGUGGAGCAAGAGGACCCACCAUGGAGGGCCGAGGCUGACACUGGCAGGGCCAGGCAAGCUCUCAGGCUGCUUGGCUCCAGUGAGCUGGGCAGAAAGGGCGGAAUCCUGGGCCAGUCCCUCCUUUCCUACUGGGAUCCUGGCUGACACUUCACGCCUAGCCAAUAUGGAGUCUCAUAACAUAUGGAGUCGCAUAACAGUGACCCCAGUUAACACUGAGGGAGGCAAAGUGGGCCUUGCUCCCAGGAGAGACACUCUUGGUGACCUGGGCAGAGCUGGAGCAGAGCCAAGAGGUGGAGGAUGACCUUGUCCCUUGAUCCAGUCACACCUGAAAGCCAAUAUAUAGUCUUGAACCACUAAAUUAGUUCCUUUGGUCUCUUCUUCCUUUCCCUCUGUCUCUCCUUUUGUAUUCUUUCUGUACCUGUCAGUGCAUGAGUUGGGUUUUUGUCCUUUGCAGCCCUGAUUAUACGGGUAGUAUGAGACCAGGAAAUAGUGCCCAGGGCAGGGUCACCGUCCUGUGUGAUCCUUUCUCCCUGAUCCCAGCCUCACUGCCUGAGAUCCUGUCACCUUGCUCUGCCUACCCACAAGACACCCUAUCACGUAGAGGUCUCCAACACCUGAGGUCCCACAGCCUGAAGGCAAAGGACAGGUGUGACACACACCCUGCCCCCCCCUCCCCCAGGAAACCCACCCUGGACACCCCGACCUCCCCAGGGAAAGAAGAGCAGAGACACAGGACAGACUCCGAGACAGGCGCCUGGGGUUUUAUUCAAAACAACACUGGUCGUGUUGCCGCCUGGUUCCCUGUGCCCGGGCCUUCUGAGCCAGCAGGGACCAGCGCCGUCGGCAGCUAGGAGGGGAGUUCGUCACGCCAUAGAAACUGUACAGCCACGGGGAGGGCUACGGCGCAGCAGCAGAGCCAGCGAGGCUUCCCGGACGAGGUGGCCGCUGCCUCCUCCCCCGCUCGGCCCUGGCUCUGCCAGGAACACUGAUUAUUGCACAAAGACAAGAAGAGUAUGUGUGUCGGGCUAAAGAGCGGCUUCUAGGACCCCAAGCCCUUCCACAGCGCAGCAAAGGGGGCUGGAGUGGCCCUGACCAUGGAGGGCUGAGGGCGGGGACAGCAGACAGGUGGAUGCUGGCAGUUUGGCCUCCUUUCAGGGACAGGAGGACAGCUGGCCAGGACAGGCCACCGCGCGUGUGGUCUUGGGUCCCUCUCCACGAUGCCAAGGUGUCCACCAGCUUCAGCCCUGAAAACACCACCCUUAGGGCCCUGACACCUGGGUCUCCCUUUUCCCCACAGCCAGGCCCCUGUGGAUGAGGCUCCCUGGUCCCUGGUCCUGACACCCCCAGGAACACGGCCAAGUGUCUGGGAUGAGCAUUUGGGGCCCGCCAGGAACCGGCUGCCAGGCCUCAGAUGCUGCCAGAAGAAGCCCAGAGCCUGCUCAUAGAGCACACGACUCACCAGCCUGGCAGGAGGCUGAGUCGUGCGAAGCCAGGCCUCGAGAGCAGGGCUGAGACCUCUCAGCAGGACUGAGCGGAAGUCACCAGACAGCUCGGCAAAGACAGAGGCCCCGAGAUGCCAAGGUGCGUCAAGACACGUCUCAGAUGUGCUGCAUCGCCACUCCUGAGCCAACACCUUCCUGAGCUCCUUCUCGAAACUGAUUUUACCUCCUCAUACUGCUUAGAACUCAGCCUUGAUCUAAGCAAUGUGCCUGUGAAAUCACAGCUUCCGCAUAUUACACUUUUUCUAACAAAUACUGAAAUAAAUGCAUCAUAAGUAUUCAAAUAAAAACACCCGUCUGGAACCUGUUUGGGAAGCACGACUGCAAUGAAACCUGACCUGCAGCUCAGGACGGUGCCAUAGAGACCCAGGGACAGGUACGUGGGAAGCAGGAACCACGGGGCUCCAGGUGAUUGGGCUGCAGGGUUCGGGAGCUGGGCAGCGGGGAGGCUGUCCGGGGCCUGGGCAGACGCCCCAUCCCUGCUAACCCUGUCGGAUCUGCUGUUCCCUGCACUCCGAGAAGACACGGGCAGAGCUGCUCAGGGCAAGGUGAUCACAUCCCUUCAGGGAUGGCUGUACCUCGGGGCUCACCUUGGGGGCACCCCCAGAGUGCUCAGUGGGGUCAGACCCUCACUGUGCCAGAGCCCCCUGCCCAGCCUGGGAGCUGUGCACUACCCCACCCCUGUCCUAAGAAAUACAACUACUCACCCGAGUUUUUCUAAAGAAAACAUCUAACCAGUGACUAUGAUGUGUGCUCAGGAGUGUCUACAAAA